CCAAGGAUGACGCUGUCAGAUGAGAACGCUGAGGAAAUUAUGCGCCAAGCAUUUUUGGUUCUCCCUUAACGAAUUUCAUCGUAUAGAUCGUAUAGUUUGCGCCAAAUGCUGACGAGUUUCACAAAUUCUACGUGGUUGAGCAAUUGCAUGCACCCGGUGUGUUGCUGGAAGUCAAACCAACACGAACCAUUCAAAACGAUUAUAUACAUUAUCUUAUUGAAAACGAAGACUAUUCCGAGUUUGAACGAAACGGCGAAGAUUAAAACUAAUGAGCAGGUGACUCGAAUACAGCCUGAAGCAUCCACCACACAAGGCGGUAUUUUAGACAGACUACACUCUGGACAGCAAAGCACCUAUUGGGUACGAUAGAUGGCACAUUUCAAUGUUCAUGAUCAUAUCUGGAGGUAGAGUAGAGUAAAUACUUCUUUAGAAAUAAUAUUGUUUUACAUUUUAGAUA